AGCACAGUGGAGAAUGUCACUUGUUCUCUUAAUCUCGCUUUCUGGUUUUACUGGAAAUUUAGGCUUGACCAUGAAGGCAUUCUGUGACUACAUUUUUACCUGCCCUCUCAGGGAGGAAUGAGGGCAUCUGGUUCUCAGAAAACAACUCCACGCCUCAUAUAUUAUGGAAGAGUAUGUAACGGGAAUGGAUGACGGACCUGAGGGGAUUUCAGGGCUGGAAUGUGCUGGAUACGCCUUCGGUACUUCCUCAGACCCUCCUGAAUUCACCUGCUUUAUCAGAUUCUGCUGGCUUCACCUGCAACUUGGGCCCCAAGCUGAUUGCCCUCUCUUGGUCAUCAUGCCUCUCUCUCAUAGGUUGAAACCCAGUCCCGCGUGUGAUGGCAUUUGGUGAUGAGGCCUUUGGGAGCCCUCACGAAUGGGACCAGCACCCCAUAAAAAGAGAUGCCAGAGAGACGAUCUCUCUCCACCACGUGAGGUCACAGCAAGAAGGUGGCCAUCUGCAAACCAGGAGGGGGGGGGUCAUCACCAGGACGUGACCAUGCUGGCACCCUGAUCUUGGACUUCCCACCUUCCAAAACCAUGGGAAAUAAAUUCCUGUUGUUUAAGCCA